UACAGAGGGGGCAAGCGUUGUUCGGAAUUACUGGGCGUAAAGGGCGCGUAGGCGGCCUGUUAAGUCGAACGUGAAAUCCCCGGGCUCAACCCGGGAACUGCGUCCGAUACUGGCAGGCUUGAAUCCGGGAGAGGGAUGCGGAAUUCCAGGUGUAGCGGUGAAAUGCGUAGAUAUUGGGAGGAACACCAGUGGCGAAGGCGGCUCACUGGACCGGAACUGACGCUGAGGCGCGAAAGCGUGGGGAGCAAACGGG
rnacentral:rRNA from 1 species